UCAGCCGAGCUCGAGCGCCUUUCUGACAAACACUUUGUUUGGCCGCCAACGGUACUUUUUUCUUCUUCUUCUUUUCUUCGCGUCGGCCGAUAGGAGCUAUUUAAAUCAGCCACCAGGCGAAUCAGCCGUGUCCCCCCCCACCUCCCCCCUGACACGCUCUCCUUCCCCGUGACCAGAGAGGCGCAAAAGAAAACACACACACACUCACACACACAAAACCUCAACACAAAGCGCUGUCUCUUUUUAUUUGUCCCUGGAUGGAAUAAAGUGUUUUUUUCUUCACAGGCAAAUCCUCGUCGGGGAAGACAACAGGGCGGACGGAUUCCAGAAGACGGGAGUCGAAGGACGGUCGGUGUGGAGAUCAAGCAAAAUCAUUCAUUAGGAGCCAGUGCAUUUCUGACCCCAACAGGAACCAACAAUCUAACCGGCAUAAUUUAUGUGUCGUCAUGCUGCAUUACUGACUCGUACGGCCCCCGUCUGUUAGUCCCGCCUGCAGAGGAAUGAGCGUGUUGCCGAGCUGGACAUCAGGCCUGUCUGGAAAGAGCUGGAGUGUGUUAGCUUGUAAAGUCAAACUCAAAUGUGUAGCCCCUAAAAAGAAAGGAGUAGAAUUUUACUGUGUCUUGUAAACUGAUUAAAAAGAUGGUCAAUAAAAAAAGUGAAGAUUUGA